AGUGAACGCUGGCGGUAGGCCUAACACAUGCAAGUCGAACGGCAGCACAGUAAGAGCUUGCUCUUACGGGUGGCGAGUGGCGGACGGGUGAGGAAUACAUCGGAAUCUACUUUUUCGUGGGGGAUAACGUAGGGAAACUUACGCUAAUACCGCAUACGACCUACGGGUGAAAGCAGGGGAUCUUCGGACCUUGCGCGAUUGAAUGAGCCGAUGUCGGAUUAGCUAGUUGGCGGGGUAAAGGCCCACCAAGGCGACGAUCCGUAGCUGGUCUGAGAGGAUGAUGAGCCACACUGGAACUGAGACACGGUCCAGACUCCUGAGGGAGGCAACAGUGGGGAAUAUUGGACAAAGGGCGGAAGCCUGAUCCAGCCAUAGCGCGUGGGUGAAGAAGGCCUUCGGGUUGUAAAGCCCUUUUGUUGGUAAAGAAAAGCAGCAGGUUAAUACCCCGCUGUUCUGACGGUACCCAAAGAAUAAGCAACGGCUAACUUCGUG
rnacentral:rRNA from 1 species